UGAAGGCUCUGGUAGAGGGCCACAGCGCGCGUCGCGCGUUUGAAGGUCAGCGCGGGAACGUGCGGAUCUCCUGAUCCAAUCAGAGAGCCUUCGG
rnacentral:tRNA from 1 species